ACGACCCUGGGGUGUUUGCCAGUCGACAAGUCCUUGAGCCGAUAAUUGCUAUACCGGCGGCUUCCAGACUUCGCUGUUGUGCAUGUCCGCAAGACGGGAAGCCUGAUGCGAUGCGGAAGUCACCACCUUGAGCCCUGGGUUCAAGGCCAUCACUGACAGCGGCACUUCCGGGGUUUUU
rnacentral:other from 1 species